UACGUAGGGUGCAAGCGUUCAUCGGAAUUACUGGGCGUAAAGCGUGCGCAGGCGGUUGUGCAAGACAGAUGUGAAAUCCCCGGGCUCAACCUGGGAAUUGCAUUUGUGACUGCACGGCUAGAGUGUGUCAGAGGGGGGUAGAAUUCCACGUGUAGCAGUGAAAUGCGUAGAUAUGUGGAGGAAUACCGAUGGCGAAGGCAGCCCCCUGGGAUAACACUGACGCUCAUGCACGAAAGCGUGGGGAGCAAACAGG
rnacentral:rRNA from 1 species